UUUAAGGUUAAAUUUGAGUUUCAAGAGUUGUUUCGAGAGUUCCCCUAGAAACUGGGAUCAGAAAGCAGUCGUCUUUGCUUCCCAAUUGGCGCGCGAAUUGGAAAUUUUCAAAUGAACCCCAAAAAAUGGAAAGACGGCGGCUGAUUCUUACGGAUCGUUUCAGAGGGGGACUAUUGAUUUUCCCGACAAACCGUUGCCGGAGAAAAUUGUGGUGCUGUCGAUGUCGAUGAAGUACUAGGAAACUUUGUGUCGGCUUUGAAUAGAUUUAUAGCGGAUCGGUAUUCGUUGAAUCAUUCAGUUUCAGAGUACCAUGUGUACGAGUUUUUCAGGAUAUGGAAUUGUUCUCGUGAGAAGCCAAUAUCCGUGUUCACGAGUUCUUCAAUACACCGUAUUUCAAGAAAGGUAUCCACCCCCUCCCAGGUGCUCAGAUGACCCUUCACAAGUUAUCAGAUUCUGUAGCCUUUCGGUUGUAACGUCUCGGCAGAAUGUAUUAAGGCCAUACAAUUGAGUGGUUAGAGAAGCACUAUCCUGGACUUUUCCAGAGAUUCACUUUGGCAACCAUUUUGCUCUUGACGGCAAGUUAGACCUAAAUCAGAAAUGCCUGUCAUUAGGAGCCAAAAUUCUAAUUGACGAUAACCCGAGAUAUGCUCUUGAGUGUGCUCAUUGGCAUCAGAGUUCUGCUGUUUGAUUACAAGAACUCGUAUCCAUGGUGUAAGACAAUCAGUGGAGGAACACCCUUUGGUGACCAAGUACAUAACUGGGAAGAAGUGGAAUGACAAAUAGCGUCGUGGAUCCUUAGUUCUUCUAUCCUCUAAGAUGGUCUCUAUGGUCAGGAUCCUACACCAUAGUCUUGUGAACUGUUUCUCAUAACCCUAAAACAUUCGAUAGGGCCGAAAAAUCAAGCUUAUUAUUUUGCUCGGGGGCGAAUCAACUGUAAGGAGACCAGCCAAAGAUGGGGACAUGGUUGUACUGGUUAACAUGGAAGGCAAAACUGAAGGAAUGUGAGUGAAAUAAUGCAUUUCUUAUAUUUCUUAUUGACUUGCAUGAUGCAGAAUGCCCUUAGAACUUUCAUGUAAAUA